rnacentral:rRNA from 1 species
UGAUGCCAUGGGCGCAGCCUGAUGCAGCGACGCCGCGUGAGGGAUGACGGCCUUCGGGUUGUAAACCUCUUUCAGUAGGGAAGAAGCGAAAGUGACGGUACCUGCAGAAGAAGCGCCGGCUAACUACGUGCCAGCAGCCGCGGUAAUACGUAGGGCGCAAGCGUUAUCCGGAAUUAUUGGGCGUAAAGAGCUCGUAGGCGGUUUGUCGCGUCUGCCGUGAAAGUCCGGGGCUCAACUCCGGAUCUGCGGUGGGUACGGGCAGACUAGAGUGAUGUAGGGGAGACUGGAAUUCCUGGUGUAGCGGUGAAAUGCGCAGAUAUCAGGAGGAACACCGAUGGCGAAGGCAGGUCUCUGGGCAUUAACUGACGCUGAGGAGCGAAAGCAUGGGGAGCGAACAGGAUUAGAUACCCUGGUAGUCCAUGCCGUAAACGUUGGGCACUAGGUGUGGGGGACAUUCCACGUUUUCCGCGCCGUAGCUAACGCAUUAAGUGCCCCGCCUGGGGAGUACGGCCGCAAGGCUAAAACUCAAAUGAAAUUGACGGA